UGAGAACGUUCAGCUGUAAAGAUCUUUUAAAGAUUCAUACAAUCAUCUUUCUGACCAGAAGCUGAAAUCUACAGCAGCCAUGAUCGUGGCAGAAGCUGGAUUUUUGUUUUUGGGUUUCAUUCUGUGUCUCUCAGGUGUUAAUGGAGGAGAAACCAGGAUCUGUGCUCUCAAAGGUUCAUCAGUGGAUCUGCACUGCUCACAUCAACAUCUGACCUCAAACAGCAAAUGGUUCACUGCACACUUAAAUGGGUCAGUGAGUGAGCUCUCUGUGGAUGGACAACGUGUAACGUACAACACGUCUGAAGAGACAAAAACAACUUUAACCAUCAAUGAUCUAAGAGAGAGUGAUGCAAAUACGUACUGCUGUAUGAAGACUACAGACAGACCAGGAAACUGUUCACUCAGUAAUAUUACUCUUCAAGUAGUUACAGAGCUGCAGGUAAAGGUGAUUCCUGCCACAGAG